rnacentral:tRNA from 1 species
GGUGGCUUAGAGGUAGAGCACUUGCCUUGCAUGCAUGAGGCCCUGGGUUCAAUUCCUCAGCACCA